AGAAUGAACGCUAGCGAUAUGCUUAACACAUGCAAGUUGAACGUUGUUUUCGAGUCAAAAUGAAAACAAAGUGGCGAACGGGUGCGUAACACGUGGGAAUCUGCCAAACAGUUUGGGCCAAAUCCUGAAUGAAUGAAAGCUAAAAAGCGCUGUUUGAUGAGCCCACGUAGUAUUAGGUAGUUGGUUAGGUAAAAGCUGACCAAGCCUACGAUGCUUAGCUGGUCUUUUCGGAUGAUCAGCCACACUGGGACUGAGACACGGCCCAGACUCCUACGGGAGGCAGCAGUGGGGAAUCUUGCGCAAUGGGCGAAAGCCUGACGCAGCAACGCCGCGUGAGGGACGAAGGCCUUCUGGGUUGUAAACCUCUUUCAGCAGGGACGAUGAUGACGGUACCUGCAGAAGAACGCCCCGGCAACUACGUGCCAGCAGCCGC
rnacentral:rRNA from 1 species